ACCCAGCUGACUAGCCCAAAAUAGGACGAAACGCGCGUCCUGGAU
rnacentral:hammerhead_ribozyme from 1 species